GCCAGUGUGGCUUAGUGGUUAAAAGCAUCAGCCUGUGCACUGCAGGGCCACAGGUUUGAUUCCGGUCAAGGGUA
rnacentral:tRNA from 1 species